rnacentral:rRNA from 1 species
UACGGAGGGUGCAAGCGUUAUCCGGAUUCACUGGGUUUAAAGGGUGCGUAGGCGGAUAGGUAAGUCCGUGGUGAAAUCCUGCAGCUUAACUGCAGAACUGCCGUGGAUACUAUCUAUCUUGAAUAUCGUGGAGGUUAGCGGAAUAUGUCAUGUAGCGGUGAAAAUGCUUAAAUAUACAUAGAACACCCAUUGCGAAAGGCAGCUAACUACGCGAUCAUUGACGCUGAUGCACGAAAAGCG